rnacentral:misc_RNA from 1 species
UUCUGCUGUCGCCGACUGGAGCCAGCAGGCACAUACACGCACGCGCGCACGCACAUGCACACACGGACCAGCACACUUAUACGAAUGAACUCUACAAAGGAGAAGGUUACAAUCAACUUCAACACAUCACGCUUCGGUGUGAAGGUGGCCGACGGCAGCUUCGACCCCGACACAACGAUCGGCGAGGUCCACGCAAGGCUGCGCAAGAAGCUUGUCAAGGCGAAGGCAAUGACGGUACCGGUGGCCAGUGGAGGAUUGGAGGGGGCGGCAGCGAUCGGCAACUGCACCGCCACAAGUGGCUCCGGCGCCACCUUCAUUUUCGUGCGCAACGGCACUGAAGCCUUCAUACCCGCACCGGAGCAAACCUUGCAGACUCUGCUGGACAUGUAUGCGACCGCCCCGGAGGCACGCAGGCUCUACGUCACCAUAGACCCCGAAGUUUUCAGCGGGUAAUCACAGCGCGUCAGCAGGGGGCACGCGACACGCCUUUUGCCCUCCGCCCUGAUGUGGUGAGCACCUGUCAUGGCGUAGUGUGGGUGCGCCUCAGAUUUGUCUGCUGCCGGCUGCUCUCGUCUCCCAUGCUGCUGCUUCGAGCAUCGUCGGCGUUUCUGCUGCCGCCGAGCAGAAGCGUCAUCCUACCUCUGUGUGUGUGACAGGGGUGCGCGCCCGGCCACUGUGUACGUCGCCCCUCCUCUCCCAUCCCCACGGUUUCACUUGCUCGACUGAGCGGCUUGCGUGGUAUCACGGUAAAGGCUCAGAGGUGCCACAUGAACCCCUCUCCCGGAGCAACAGCCGUCAACGCAGCAUCUCUAUUUGGACUUGUGCAAGGGAAGCGCCCGUUGUAUUCCUGCGAGGUGUCUCCCUGUAGAGCGUGUAUGUGCCGGCGUCAGUGGCAGUCGCCGUGCGCCUUCUCCAUUGAUGUGUCGCUCGUCAUGUGCACCCUUCCCUGCCUGUGGCUGUUGAGCGAAAGAUGCACGCGCGCACUUCAUCUCGCUUUCUUCUGCUCCGCUCUGCCUCCUCUCGCCGUCGCCCAACCAG